rnacentral:snRNA from 1 species
GUGCUCGCUUUGGCAGCACAUAUACUAAAAUUGGAAUGAUACAGAGAAGAUUAGCACGGCCCCUGCGUGAGGAUGACAUGCAAAUUUAUGAAACGUUGCAUAUUUUU